rfam:Triticum aestivum genome assembly, contig: Triticum_aestivum_CS42_TGACv1_scaffold_000043_1AL
CAACUACUCCCUCUGUCCCAAAUUUCUUGUCUUAGAUUUGUCUAGAUACGGAUGUAUCUAAUACUAAAAUGUGUCUUGAUACAUCCAUAUAUAGACAAAUCUAAGACAAGAAUUUUGGGACGGAGGGAGUACUUU